rnacentral:rRNA from 1 species
GAUGAACGCUGGCGGCGUGCCUAAUACAUGCAAGUCGAGCGAACAGAUGAGGAGCUUGCUCCUCUGACGUUAGCGGCGGACGGGUGAGUAACACGUGGAUAACCUACCUAUAAGACUGGGAUAACUUCGGGAAACCGGAGCUAAUACCGGAUAAUAUAUUGAACCGCAUGGUUCAAUAGUGAAAGACGGUUUUGCUGUCACUUAUAGAUGGAUCCGCGCCGCAUUAGCUAGUUGGUAAGGUAACGGCUUACCAAGGCAACGAUGCGUAGCCGACCUGAGAGGGUGAUCGGCCACACUGGAACUGAGACACGGUCCAGACUCCUACGGGAGGCAGCAGUAGGGAAUCUUCCGCAAUGGGCGAAAGCCUGACGGAGCAACGCCGCGUGAGUGAUGAAGGUCUUCGGAUCGUAAAACUCUGUUAUUAGGGAAGAACAAAUGCGUAAGUAACUAUGCACGUCUUGACGGUACCUAAUCAGAAAGCCACGGCUAACUACGUG